GCUAACAACGGGGCAGUGGCCGGGGUAGAAGGUAGGGGGCAAGCGUUAGCCGGAUUUAUUGGGCGGAAAGCGAGCGCAGGGGUGUUGUUAAGUCUGAGGUGAAAGCCCUUGGCUUAACCGAGGAAGCGCAUCGGAAACUGGGAAACGUGAGGGCAGAAGAGGACAGUGGAACUCCAUGUGUAGCGGUUAAAUGCGUAGAUAUAUGGAAGAACACCAGUGGCGAAGGCGGCUGUCUGGUCUGUAACUGACGCUGAGGCUCGAAAGCAUGGGUAUCGAACAGGAUUAGAUACCCGAGUAGUC
rnacentral:rRNA from 1 species